rnacentral:tRNA from 1 species
UCCUCGUUAGUAUAGUGGACAGUAUCUCCGCCUGUCACGCGGAAGGAAGGGGUUCGAUUCCCCGACGGGGAG